rnacentral:rRNA from 1 species
GUGAGGAAUAUUGCGCAAUGGAGGCAACUCUGACGCAGCCAUGCCGCGUGCAGGAAGAAGGCGCUACGCGUUGUAAACUGCUUUUAACCGGGAAGAAACCCCAGGACGUGUCCUGGGUUGACGGUACCGGAGGAAUAAGCACCGGCUAACUUCGUGCCAGCAGCCGCGGUAAUACGAAGGGUGCAAGCGUUAUCCGGAUUCAUUGGGUUUAAAGGGUGCGUAGACGGAGCGUUAAGUCAGUGGUGAAAUCCUGCAGCUUAACUGUAGACUUGCCAUUGAUACUGGCGCUCUUGAGUGCGCUUGAAGUGGGCGGAAUGUGCCGUGUAGCGGUGAAAUGCUUAGAUAUGGCACAGAACACCAAUUGCGAAGGCAGCUCACUAAGGCGAUACUGACGCUGAGGCACGAAAGCGUGGGGAUCGAACAGGAUUAGAAACCCCAGUAGUCC